rnacentral:rRNA from 1 species
CCUACGGGAGGCAGCAGUGGGGAAUAUUGCACAAUGGGGGAAACCCUGAUGCAGCGACGCCGCGUGAGUGAAGAAGUAUUUCGGUACGUAAAGCUCUAUCAGCAGGGAAGAAAAUGACGGUACCUGACUAAGAAGCCCCGGCUAACUCCGUGCCAGCAGCCGCGGUAAUACGUAGGGGGCAAGCGUUAUCCGGAUUUACUGGGUGUAAAGGGAGCGUAGACGGCAGCGCAAGUCUGGAGUGAAAUCCCAUGGCUUAACCAUGGAACUGCUUUGGAAACUGUGCAGCUAGAGUGCAGGAGAGGUAACCGGAAUUCCUAGUGUAGCGGUGAAAUGCGUAGAUAUGAGGAGGAACACCGGUGGCGAAGGCGGGUGACUGGACUGUAACUGACGGUGAGGCUCGAAAGCGUGGGGAGCAAACAGGAUUAGAUACCCGGGUAGUC